rnacentral:lncRNA from 1 species
CAAGAAGACAAGCUGCACAAGUCACUAACUUACUUUCUGAAACGUGUGUCAAGCCUGGAGUUUUUCACUUAUUUAUAUAAUACAGACUUUGCAGUGACUUGUUACUCAAUAGAGACAUGACCAGGAAGAUACAAACCAUUCAGACCCAGCCAUCACAGGACUUGUAAGCCAUCAGAAAACUUCGUAAUUCUAAACACUUUGGUGCUGGUCAAAUUGACUUACAUGUCAGUCAGAAAGCUUGGUCACUUUCUGCAAUUCCUGUACUGACCCAGGCAGAAGACACCAAAUGCAAGCAUCUCUGAAUAUCCAGCUCACAUCUCAGAUGAAGUUUUGAGCCCACUGGCCAAAGAUGGCUUGAAACCAAGCCAUCAGAACAGGCUGGCCACUGCCCAUCAGUGUAAGGUGCAACUAAAUUACUGUGCUAAGGGCACUUUCGGGCACACUCGGUGCAAUUUGCCCAGGGAUAUGCCUAAGUUUGGUCAGUGCCUGAAGUUUCUACCAGAGGUCCCCCAGAUUGGAAAGUCUCUAUUGACAAAGUUUCAGCACCAAGAUAUUAUCCAAAAUUCAGAGGAGGAAAAGGGCCCUGGAGCUCCUGGAGACCUGGGCCUCAGGAUCUUUGAGCGUUGCAUCCAGCUCAGGAGUUACACGAAGCAACCCAAGCUCCACCAAGCAACUCUGAAUUAUGGAAUGGAAAUUUAUCAAAGGUCACUUGGAAGUGGGAAUUGCAAACUUUUUACUGGAAAAACAAAAAAUAAGAAUACCCUUUUGAUCUUGUUGUUGAUGUUAAUUUGUUUUUAUUUUUCCCCCCUCAAUGUUUUUGUCUGAAAUGACAAGUUCUUUAAUCACCUCCUCCUAAGAUACAUUUUGAAUUUAUUUGUGUCCGCCUUUUCCCAUGAAAGGUAAAGAUUUCCCAGAAGAUUACUUCACACAGUGUGCAUACCCACAAAUGUCCUUCUCCUCCAUCAUCUCCAAGAAGGGACCACUUGUCCUAUACACUGCAAAGAAAGAUUAUUAUUUUUACUUGAUUGUUAAUUAAUUUAAUAUUUAAUACCAUACCUUGGUGGGGAAGAGGCUAACAAAACCUUGCCAGACUACAUGCGGUGGGCUGUAUUAGGAGUCUGUGUGAGUGGCCACAUCUCACACUGCGGAGCAGUUGUUGGAGGGAGGCACUGCCCUCAGUAGUACAGCAGCACCAGCAUUUUCUGGUUGCAUACUGAGUAGGAAGAUAAGAUAUGAGAGUAUAGGUCAAUGCCGCAUCAGAUAUACCAGAUAACACUGGAAUCCUUUGCAUAUUCAAGCAGGAUAGGCCCCAGAAUAAGCUCAAUCCACCCAGCAAGUAUUUCAGGAAUGCACCUGGGAUGUAGUGU